rnacentral:ncRNA from 3 species
UACGGAAGGUCCGGGCGUUAUCCGGAUUUAUUGGGUUUAAAGGGAGCGUAGGCCGGCUUUUAAGUCAGCUGUGAAAGUCCGCGGCUCAACCGUGGAAUUGCAGUUGAAACUGGAGGCCUUGAGUGCACACAGGGAUGCCGGAAUUCAUGGUGUAGCGGUGAAAUGCUUAGAUAUCAUGAAGAACUCCGAUCGCGAAGGCAAGUGUCCGGGGUGCAACUGACGCUGAGGCUCGAAAGUGCGGGUAUCAAACAGG